ensembl:lncRNA
AUGAGCAAGUUCCACUGGGACAGAACAAAAAGUACAUGGAGUCUGGAGCUCAGCCAGACUCCAGCUCUGCCACUCAUGGUGGUGCCACGUCGGACCCGGUCCGCCCUCACUGUGAAGCAGGAUGUUGGUGACUGCCUCGCAAGGCCAGGUGCAGAGGGCCUAGUGCACUGCCCAGCACUUGGCUCACAAGGGCAGGUGUUGACACCAACUGAAGCCAACGCCCUAGAAGCUUUUACAUCUUUGAUCCUACUGCCUUCUGCUCAUCUAUCAACUGGUGAAUUAAUGAGGAGUACUAAACCAAGUUAAAGAAGAUAUGGCUCUUGUCUGCUGGGAACCUACCUUCUGGUUCAUGAGACAAGAGAUACACAGAGGACAGAACCAGAGGACAGGGCAAGACAUCUUAUAACCAGGUGGGUGCCAGAAAGAGUAUCCUGGAAGGGGGUUCCCAUUCCCAGGGCUGACACACUGGUAAAAGCAGCUGGUUGUGUGGUGGUAUGCUACAGGCCCAGUGUUCUCAGUAGCAGUUAAGGGCCUGUGUUUGUGAGUGUAUAAUUAAAAAUAAAGCAGAAUAAGAAUAUUUUUCUAUACCAUUACUCUCAGUCAUGCACAAUCUAUGACAGGCUCUUAAAGCAGUAGAUAAAGGGGCACAAUUAUAGCUGGCAUUUAAUCUCUACUGCUUUCCAUAAUCUGAACCGUGCCCCACCAAUCCCUACCUGGGGGCCCCACCCCUUACCUGGGAAUCUGUGGUCUGUGGGAGCCCUGUUUAUUUCACAGAGGAUGGUAGCCAACACUUGCUAACCACUGACACAUGAUUGAAGGACAGAGGGAAGAGACCUGUGGGUCUGAAGACAAAGCAAAUCCUCAAAGGAUGGACUCAAAGCUUGCGCCAGGCUGGGGUAGGGGUGGGGAGUGCAGCCAGCCAGGGCCUGGUCCAAGCCCCCAUCGUGCCUUUGGAUACUGCCAUUUUGCUUCCUCUUGUUCCCUUACAGAAUAUGCUCCACGCGGCAGCCAGAAGAAACAUUUGAAAACAAAUUAGAUCAUGCUGCUUCUCUGCUCUGGAUCUUUCAAUCACUUUCCAAAGUACUGGGAGCGAUAUCCUAACCCGUUUAUGCCUCUCAGGUUUAUGAGAACCAGCUUCCACUAUCUUUCCUACCUAACUUCCGCCUCCUCUCCUUUUGUGCUCCGCUCCUUAACCACACAGCAUUCUCCAUCCUGCCUACGCCAGCCAGGCACACUCCUGCUUCAGGGCCUUUGCAUAGGCCGUUCCCAGAUACGUGCGUGACUCACUCCUUGUUUUCUCAAGGUCUUUACAAGGUAGCCUUCCCUGAUCACUGCAUCUAGGGCAGCAUUCCCUGCCAUUCUCUCCCUAACUCACAUCACCUUUUUCCAUAGUAUUAUUACUACCUAACAGCCUUCCAGGCUCCUCCGUCCAUGGGAUUUUCCAGGCAAGAGUACUGGAGUGGGGUGCCAUUGCCUUCUCCACCUAAUAGUGUACUAUCAUCAUAUUUGUCUAUUGUCUCUCUCUGUCACAAGAGGGAAGGGAACUU